UGGUCCGACCCGAUGAUGUCACUGCUGACAUCAUCCCCUGCACAAACACCAGGCCUCACUGCCUGCCCUCCAGUCUAGCCUCCAGCACACCUGCCGAGCAUGGCAAGCAUCCAACACACAUCAACAUGGGGACAAAGGUGAGUUGUCUCCCACUUUGUCACAAACCUUAAGACCUUUUCUUUUGGAAAUGCAAAAUAGUCACAAUAGACCAAGACUCGUUAGACCAGGAAAACGUCCACCUAGGAAACACAGUCCUGUUGAGCCUGGUUUGAAGAGAUUAGCAGCUAACGGAAUAGAAUAUAGGAAUAGAGUCAAGCAGACGGAGAGCAAUAGCCUUCUACCCUGAAAUCCACUUGAAUAUAAUGUAAGACACAACCUCACACCAGUAACUGGAGACAGAGGUCACAAUAGACCAUAGAACAACGACAGUCAAACACACUUCAGUAUGUUAGUGAUUUAGCAGAAGAACACACCUAUCAGUAGAAAUUAAAAUGUGUGAUCAUGACUAGUUUGAUUUCUACUUUAUCUGUUUAUUACAUAUUAGUUAUAUUAAAUAAAACAAAUUGAAUAUUAGUAUGUUAGGUUAAUAACUGCAAUAUGAAUUAAACACAAUCGCCUUCCCAUGUUUAUCAAUUAGACCAUAUAAACUGGUGUGUGAUGUCAUGAACGGUGAUGAUUGAAGGUGUGUUGUGAUGAGAGUGUAUUAGCUACAGGAGGAUGAUGAUGUCAUCAGGUGUGAUCAUUGAAUGAGCUGUAGUAUUGAGUGAGUAGGGAUUGGUCAGUGAGGGAUUUCACAUUCGAGUCAGAAAUGUUCAGCGGAAAGGAAUCUCGAGGUGAUCAACCUACAUUUCAAUGUGCAGCCAAUCACAUACAGCUGCAACACAAAGGACACACGUGACGGUGGUACACGUCCAACGACACGUUCAUAACAUGCCUGCUUAUAGGCUUAAGACUGUCCGGCCAAACUACGGCAGAUUCUUUUCUCUUGGUUAACUGAACCUCUAUAUUCCCGCUGUAAUCGUCCUGUGCGUCGGUGAAGUUGAGGUGACACAAUCCGUCCUUACUAAUGAUUUACUAUUAUUUAUCCGAGAAAUAAAAACAGGAUGUUUCACUACCAUGAGUCUUUAAGUCUCAUUCAACUAAAAGAAGGAUUUUAUUUAGAAGGAAUGCUGAAAGGUGAGGUAGGAGUAAUCAAAAAAGGUCAAGAGAUAUCCAGAAUGUCUUCUAUGUUAAUUGUACAAAUACCAGAUAAAAAACAGCUGUUUAGUUUCAAUAACAACAACUAUAUAAUCAACUCAAUCAUUGAAAAGGAGUGCCACUUUUUUCAGAUCAGCAGAAAAAAUAACAUAUUGGCUGGACAUAGAAAAAGCUAAAAUCAGUGCAGUCAAAGUCAAUAAAAAUAGCAUUCAAAGCAGAAUAUACUGUUGGCUCAUCUUUCAUGUGUGAGUUUCUAUGCUGCAAACACCUCCACAAAAGGUAUAAAGGACUUAUACAAACAGGUAAAGUGCCAAGUCCUUGGUGUGGAGAUGCUGCGCCAGGUUCUGAAUGCGACAUAAGCGGACAUUCUGGGCGUCUCCUGCACUGUAAACUCUGAAUACGUGAUAACGCUCCUUCUCUUUCAGUGCAAAGUCCAGCUCGUUAGCAGAGAGGUGGAUGAAGGACUUUUCCUUCUUUAUUGUAGACUUGACUUCCACGUACACAAUCCCCGGCCCUCCUGCCAGUCCAAAGGUCAACUUAAAGUCGUAGGGCUGGCCGCUCUCUCCACUCUGGUUGCACCACACGACGUCUGUGGGUCGUCCAAGGUCUCCACCGUCUCUCCAGUGGCACAGGUAGAAGUUGACCAGCUGCUCCCCCCACUCACCGAUCACUGCCAUGUCCAUCAGGUCGUCUGAUAACUCCACCUGCUCAAGCACAAUACAACUUAGAAGAUCCUGGCAAAGACCGAGCCCGAGGAAACACCCCAUGUGUGGUAUGUACUGACCGUGGUGGGUCUCUGGCAAGUCAGCUCCAUGUCCUCCAGCGUGGGCAGAGGCUGCCCUUUGUUCCAGGGAGGGAAGUCCAGGUUGAUAGGAGGACGCUGGGUUUCUGCACCACCCUUAAACAUACUGGAAACCACCACAGCCUCAGGGGCGCCGCUGAUGACAAAGGAGAGGAAAAGGUAGCAGGUUUGAGAUUAUGUAUCAAUGAGCAGUAGUUUUCUACAUCAAUCUCUUGGAUUUUUGGGGGGGCAAGGAGAAGAAGCUUACAGGUCGUUUGGAGCGGGCUGGUCGAUGGCGGUCUCGGCGGGCUGUGCGGAUGGAGGACCCUGUAUGGCUCCGGGAGCUGGAAGGCAUUUCUGGUCAUUUGGAGCUCUGUCAAACUUGGUGCUGUCACUCUGUUGUCGGAGCUCUGUCAGACACAACAGCGAAAGGGUUGGACGUGGCAUAAACUGGGAUAUUCUGUAUUAUGAGGAAGCCAGAAUGGGCCUCAGUGGGCAGACGUCCUUGUUGUAGAGUAAGAAUUGGCUGAAGAGGAAGCAUGUUUGACCUGGAGAUGGAGGAGUGUUGGUGGUCCCAGGGGCAGGGCGAUGGGGGUCUGUGGGUCUCCUGCUGCCCUCGAGCGGCUGGUUCCCCUCGUAGCUGCUGCUGCUGCUGGGACUCCUGGGGAUGGCAUGGCCAUCCUUAUCUGGGUCUCGGUAUUCGGGCCCAGCUGGAGGUGGCCACAGCUUCAUGACGGCUUCCACCACCGCGCUCCCUGGCUGACCUGUUGGUCCAGAGAUGUUGUGGGGAAUAAGAAACAGGGUUUGCUACGUUGAAGAGUUGUCGUGCAGAAACAAGCGUAUCCUUCUCACUGACCAGUGCGACUGGCUCCCGGACUCAGCAUGGAUGCUCGAGGAGGCCAGCAAACCAAUGUCUGCUCCCCGUCCUCAUGUGCAGGGCGAGCAGGCUCCUCUGGGGAGCUGAUGGAGGAGUAACUCCUUGAUAACCCUGAAGCACAAUGUUUUAAAAGAGUCAAAAACCGAUGGCAGAAGUGAUUUGUAAAGACUGAUUUGUGCCCAAAGCGUCGUAUUGAUCCCUGCAUGUCUGUGAGUGUGCGUGUGUGUACAAAAAUGGGAGAAAGUGCACAAACACGGAUAAAGAACAAGCAGCGCUAGAUUCUGAGUUACAUGCUGACGUUCUGCAUCAAGCUGAUUAUGUAUUAACCAGCUGUACACUGUAACACUAUUAAUGAGGAUGGUCCAGCCCCAAAAAACAGAAUCAAUGUAUUAAAUCAAACAUAUUACUCCGCUGCUGAAAGUUGUUCCUCCCACAUACACUAUUUAAUCAACCAGCUACCGUGCGUAGUUAAAACACUCCAUGUCAUUAGUCGCCCAUUCAUACCUAUUCUGAUUACAAGGGCCACCUGUCCGUCACAAACAACUAACAUUCAUACUCCUCCCCACGCCGCGCGGCCAGCAGGAAUCUGGAGGCUGUGUGACCAGCAGAGCCCCCGUUCCCUUCAUUCUACUGAUGUUGUACAUGUUGUAUUGGGUCCACGAGAGGGAAACACGUGGGAGUUCAGAGGCUCUUUACCUCUCUCCAGGUUCAUCUCUGCUUUGGGGGGCUCUGGGACCUUCCACAGCUCCUCCUCACUUGGCAGCUCUCUGACGUCCUCCUUGGCCAGGAAUCUCAUCAGAGACUCGUGGUCCUGCACAGAUGAUCGGCUUAUUAGGGCCUGCUGAUCUGUAUGAACGUUUGCUUCUUGUUAUUAUUAUUCGGAUAAUUGAUUUGCCUUUUGGGGGCCUUCAUAUCAUAACCCCAAACCGCCCAAAUCGGACUAAAAAUGGGAUGUUUUGUCAAGUAUGACCCAAGUGGGAAAGGCAAGCCCCCUCAGCCUGUAUGUCCUAUUGACACUUGACAUUUUACAGACAAAUGUAACUUCUGUCCUGAACCCUGAGCUCCAGCUCCUUUUAAAUCUUAUGAAAAAAGCAUUUUUGCAACCUCCUCUUAUACAUUGUGCCUGAAAAUUGCCAAACAU
ensembl:lncRNA